rfam:Salmo salar isolate Sally breed double haploid chromosome ssa04, whole genome shotgun sequence.
CAAACGGCCUUUUUAAAGGCCACCGUCGUUCACAGCGUUUGAAUA